GUAUUGAUUUAAAAAUAAGUAUCAUUUAAUGGUCGACAAUACUCUGCCGCCUUUUUCUCACAUUGUCUGUUGGUCUGUCUGGAUUCUUCUAAAGCCGCCUUGCCUUCUCUCUGUUCUCUCACCACUCUCUCUGCAGUUCUUAGUUCUAUCUCCAUCGACAGUCACUGAUAUUUACUUACAGCGAAACAUGGGUGCUGCUCAUAAGAUUGCACAUGUUGCUUACAAGGGUCCAAGUGUGGUGAAAGAGAUCAUUUAUGGAAUAGCACUUGGCCUUACUGCUGGAGGUUUGUGGAAAAUGAAUCAAUGGAAUAAUCAAAGGCGAACCAGGGAAUUCUAUGAUCUUUUAGAAAGAGGUGAAAUCAGUGUUGUGGUGGAAGAAGAGUAAAUGAUGUACUGGGGACCUAGCUGGGGAGCUCAGCAGACACCAGACAGGGUGAGCCUACAGAGCUGCAUCAGGAGUUCAAAGUCACCUCACAUCUGCACUGCAUAUGGAUAUGGAUCCUGAUUCGCAAAGAGCAGUUGAGGAAGAGGUGGAGAGUCGUGCUCCACGAAGGGCUGAAUCUGGGGGCAGGGUAGAAUCUGCUCCACCAGCAGCUGAGGCACCUGCCCAACCUCAGUUUGCGUUAUUUCAGCAAAUGGCUGAAUUCUACUGGCAAAUGAUGGGGGCAAUUCCACAGCCACAACCACCACUAGCACCACAGAAAUCUCAUUUGGAGAAAUUGAGGAAGCAUGGGGCUGUAGACUUCUUUGGGAAGAAGGAGGAUGAUCCCAUGGCUGCAGAAAAUUGGUUGGAUAGAACCAUCAGAGUGC